GGGGUGAAAGGCCAAUCAAACUCGGAGAUAGCUGGUUCUCCGCGAAAUCUAUUUAGGUAGAGCGUCAUCCGAAUACCCCGGGGGGUAGAGCACUGGAUGGGUAAUGGGGCCCCACAGGCUUACUGAUCCUAACCAAACUCCGAAUACCCGGGAGUACUAGAUGGCAGACACACUGCGGAUGCUAACGUCCGUAGUGAAGAGGGAAACAACCCUGACCUCCAGCUAAGGCCCCUAAUUCAUGGCUAAGUGGGAAAGCAGGUGAGACGGCCAAAACAACCAGGAGGUUGGCUUAGAAGCAGCCAUCCUUUAAAGAUAGCGUAACAGCUCACUGGUCUAAAUAAGCUGUCUUGCGGCGAAGAUGUAACGGGGCUCAAGCCAUGAGCCGAA
rnacentral:rRNA from 1 species